rnacentral:rRNA from 1 species
CCGGCGCACGGGUGAGUAACACGUAUGCAACCUGGCCGUGACAGAUGGAUAACCGGGAGAAAUCCCGCCUAAUACCGCGUAACGCCGCGGACCUGCAUGGGUCUGCGGCCAAAGGAAGCGAUUCCGGCGGGGGAUGGGCAUGCGGCGCAUUAGCUAGUCGGCGGGGUAACGGCCCACCGAGGCGACGAUGCGUAGGGGUUCUGAGAGGAAGGUCCCCCACACUGGUACUGAGACACGGACCAGACUCCUACGGAAGGCAGCAG